rnacentral:rRNA from 1 species
GAUGAACGCUAGCGGCAGGCUUAAUACAUGCAAGUCGUGGGGCAGCAUGAGUAGCAAUACUUGAUGGCGACCGGCAAACGGGUGAGGAACACGUACACAACCUUCCUUCAAGCGGGGAAUAGCCCAGAGAAAUUUGGAUUAAUACCCCCAUAAUAUAUUUGAUAAGGCAUCUUAUUAAAUAUUAAAGCUUCGGCACUUGAUGAUGGGUGUGCGGCUGAUUAGAUAGUUGGCGGGGUAACGGCCCACCAAGUCUACGAUCAGUAGCUGAUGUGAGAGCAUGAUCAGCCACACGGGCACUGAGACACGGGGCCCGACUCCUACGGGAGGCAGCAGUAAGGAAUAUUGGACAAUGGACGAAAGUCUGAUCCAGCCAUGCCGCGUGAAGGAUUAAGGUCCUCUGGA